rnacentral:tRNA from 1 species
UGUCCCGAUCGAACAAGGCAACGCUCUGCCAACCCGUGCGCCGUAGAUGCAUAGGUACGCGCUGGGGCGUUCCA